rnacentral:rRNA from 1 species
GACGAACGCUGGCGGCGUGCUUAACACAUGCAAGUCGAACGGAAAGGCCCUGCUUUUGUGGGGUGCUCGAGUGGCGAACGGGUGAGUAACACGUGAGUAACCUGCCCUUGACUUUGGGAUAACUUCAGGAAACUGGGGCUAAUACCGGAUAGGAGCUCCUGCUGCAUGGUGGGGGUUGGAAAGUUUCGGCGGUUGGGGAUGGACUCGCGGCUUAUCAGCUUGUUGGUGGGGUAGUGGCUUACCAAGGCUUUGACGGGUAGCCGGCCUGAGAGGGUGACCGGCCACAUUGGGACUGAGAUACGGCCCAGAGUCCUACGGGAGGCAGCAGCGGGGAAUAUUGCACAAGGGGCGGAAGCCUGAUGCAGCAACGCCGGGUGCGGGAUGACGGCCUUCGGGUUGUAAACCGCUUUCGCCUGUGACGAAGCGUGAGUGACGGUAAUGGGUAAAGAAGCACCGGCUACUUACGU